ACGAAAGGAAGAAAGAAAGCAAAAGGAAGAUUGAACGGAAAGGCAAAAACACCCAACCACCCAAUGGGGGUUCAUUUAUCUCUUCCUCUUCCCCUUCUUCGUCCUUUCCCUUCAACCUCUCCCUGAUG
rnacentral:ribozyme from 1 species